GUUUGGGUAGCUAGGAUUGGAUCUCUCUAUUUCUUAAUGCAAUUGACAAUUGUUUUGAUGCCUAAGGACCAAGGACGUUCCUUGGCAAUUUGUUAAUUAGUAAUUAAUUAGAGGACGUUCCCUAAUUGGUUUAAUCAUAAGGAGAGAUAAUGGUGGUGAGAAGCGUCUUCUAUCUCCAUAACUAAUCUAUUGAAUCAACCCAAAAGAACAAAGUGU
rnacentral:lncRNA from 1 species